GAGUCGACUGGUCAGGAUUGAACGCUGGCGGGAUGCUUUACACAUGCAAACAGAAAACGCAGCACGGACUUCGGUCUGCGGGCGAGUGGCGAAUCGGUGAGUAGGCAUUAUCGGAACGUGCCUAGUAGCGGGGGAUAAUCUAGCGAAAGCGUAGCCAAUACCGCAUACUGCCCUUCGGGGGAAAGCGGGGACCUUCGGGCUCCACUGCUGAGCGCUGAUAUCGAUUAGCUAGUUGGUGGGGUAACGCUCACCAGGGUGGCGACGAUCCGUAGCUGGUUUGAGAGGACGACCAGCCACACUGGGAUCUGAGACACGGCCCAGACUCCUACGGAGCAGUGGGGAAUUUUGGACAAUGGGGAACCUGAUCCAGCCAUCCUGUGCAAAGAUGAAGGCCCUUCGGGUUGUAAAGCACUUUGCAGGAAGAAACGGCACGGGAUAAUACCCCGUGCAACUGAUCCCGGUACCUGGAGAAUAAGCGGCACCGGCUAACCACGCCAGCAGCCGCGGUAAUACGUAGGGUGCAAGCGUUAAUCGGAAUUACUGGCGUAAAGCGUGCAGGCGUGGUUCGGAGAAAGAUGAAAUCCCAGAGCUGAACUUUGGGAACUGCAUUUUUAACUACCGAGCUAGAGUGUGUCAGAGGGAGGUGGAAUUCCGCGUGUAGCAGUGAAAUGCGUAAGAUAUGCGGAGGAACACCGGCUUAUGAAGGCAGCCUGGGAUAACACUGACGCUCAUGCACGAAAGCGUGGGAGCAAACAGGAUUAGAUACUCCGGUAGUCCACGCCUCAAACGAUGUCAACUAGCUGUUGGGGCCUUCGGGCCUGGUAGCGCGUGCCAUCAGUGAAGCUGAUCCGCCUGGGGAGUACGGUCGCAAGAUUAAAACUCAAAGGAAUUGACGGGGACUCGCACAAGCGGUGGAUGAUGUGGAUUAAUUCGAUGCAACGCGAAAAAACCUUACCUACCCUUGACAUGUCUGGAAUCCCGGAAGAGAUUUGGAGUGCUCGUACAGAAUCAAACACAGGUGCUGCAUGGCUGUCGUAGCUCGUGUCGUGAGAUGUUGGGUUAAGUCCUGCAACGAGCGCAACCCUUGUCAUUAGUUAAGCAUGAAAGGGCACUCUAAUGAGACUGCCGGUACAAAUCCGGAGGAAGGUGGGAUGACGUCAAGUCCUCAUGGCCUUUAUGGUAGGGCUUUCCACACGUCAUACAAUGGUUUCGACAGAGGGUCGCCAACCCAUGAGGGGAGUCAAUCCCAGAAACCCGAUCGUAGUCCGGACGCAGUCUGCAACUCGACUGCGUGAAGUCGGAAUCGCUAGUAAUCGCGGAUCAGUACGUCGGUGAAUACGUUCCCGGGUCUUGUACACACCGCCCGUCACACUAUGGGGAGGCUUUACCAGAAGUAGUUAGCCUAACCGUAAGGAGGGCGAUUACCACGGUAGGAUUCAUGACUGGGUGAAGUCGUAACAAGGCAC
rnacentral:rRNA from 1 species